rnacentral:rRNA from 1 species
UGGGGAAUAUUGGACAAUGGGCGCAAGCCUGAUCCAGCCAUGCCGCGUGAGUGAUGAAGGCCCUAGGGUUGUAAAGCUCUUUCACCGGUGAAGAUAAUGACGGUAACCGGAGAAGAAGCCCCGGCUAACUUCGUGCCAGCAGCCGCGGUAAUACGAAGGGGGCUAGCGUUGUUCGGAUUUACUGGGCGUAAAGCGCACGUAGGCGGACUAUUAAGUCAGGGGUGAAAUCCCGGGGCUCAACCCCGGAACUGCCUUUGAUACUGGUAGUCCUGGGUUCGAGAGAGGUGAGUGGAAUUCCGAGUUUAGAGGUGAAAUUCGUAGAUAUUCGGAGGAACACCAGUGGCGAAGGCGGCUCACUGGCUCGAUACUGACGCUGAGGUGCGAAAGCGUGGGGAGCAAACAGG